rnacentral:SRP_RNA from 1 species
CGCGGGAGUCGGGCGGACGAGUCUGUCGCCAACCUGGUCAGGUCCGGAAGGAAGCAGCCACAACGAUUUCGGCCCGGGUCGUUCCGGCUCCCACUUUC